rnacentral:tRNA from 1 species
AGGCCAGUAGCUCUAAUGGCAGAGCGGCAGACUCCAAAUCUGCGGGUUGGGGGUUCGAGUCCCUCCUGGCCUGCCA